rnacentral:misc_RNA from 1 species
CUUUUUGUGCAUAAUGUAUAUAUAGGGGGGUGGUAGUACUCUUGGGGUAGACAGGCAUGUGCUGGGAUGGCAUGCCAAGGCAUGUGCUGGGAUGGCAUGCCAAGGCGUGUGCUGGGAUGGCAUGCCAAGGACAAGCAUGUGCUAGGAAGGCAUGCCAAGGGCAAGACAAGGCCAUGGCAAGCACAUGCAUCGCGAGGGAGAUGAGAUGGUUACGUUUACCCCAAGAGUGCCCAAGGGAAGGAAGGUGUCAAACGCAUGCUGAGCCCCACUUCGGUAGUUUGGCACCCCCAUAGGCAUUUAGCCAAGCGUGCCUAUGGGAAGGUCUGUUGAGCUUGUCACCUAUGUCGGUUAUUAUUUUACGGAUGAGAUGAUGGCACAAGGAUUCUUGCACUAAGGUAACGUUUCGGCAGCACAGCCAGCCCGCAAUUGCUAGUUCAAGCGAGUGGAAUCUGCCUAUAGGGCUGUUGCUUGCUUGUUGUGAAGUUGGGACACACUAAAUAUCUAUCAUGCACAGACGCAAUACUUAAAUGGCCCCAUAGGUAUUCAGGCACGCGUGCCUAUCGGAAAAGUCGGUCGAGCUUGUCAACCAUGUUGGGUAUUAUUCUACGGACGAGAUGAUGGCACAAGGAUGCUUGCUAGGUAACGUUUUGGCACCAGACCGCAAAUGCUACUUCAAGCUUCAGCGGGUGGAAUCUGCCUAUAGGGACGUUGCUUGCUUGCUGUGGAGUUGGGACACGCCCAAUAUCUAUCAUUGACCAGGUAAUACCUGCAUGGCCCCAUAGGUAUAUUCAGGCAAGCGUGCCUAUGGGUAAAGUCGGUGGAGCUUGCCAACAACCAUGUUAGCUGUAGUCUGGACCGAUGAUGGCACAAGGAUGCUUGCUUUAAGGUAACAUUCCGGCAGCACAGCCAGCCCGCAAUUGCUAGUUCAAGCGGGUGGAAUCUGCCUAUAGGGGUGUUGCUUGCUUGCUGUGGAUUUGGGACACGCCCAAUAUCUAUCAACGACCCAACGAAGUGCUCAACAUGGGUUGCUGAGGGCUAUUUUGGCACAGAUGGUUCACUUGUUUGCUUGGCUUUGAUAAAUGUUUAGAUUUCAUGAUUUCUGGGAUCCAAUAAAUUUAUGUGGGAAGCUGAGAGCUGGAACCCAAUGUCAUCCACCAGACGGCUUAGCUUCGUCAGUGUGUAUAAUAUGUCAUUGAACCCCAAUCCUUGAUGCCAACCUGAUUAUGACUUUUGGAUCGCAAUUAUCAUGGAUAUCAAAAACUGAGUAGGAGUCAUGGAAUAAGUGAGCAAUUUGUAGCCUUAAUAGCUCUUAGCUUUCGCAUCGCCCGGUGUGUUUUGGGAAUCGCUUUUUGCAUUUGGUUGCCUGCCGUGCCUCUUGGCAUACGGUGGGUGCCACUUGCCGGGUGGUUUUCGGAAACAUCCACCGUAAAGGUGCAUGAGUGGUGUUUGGUUUGUUUCGGGUGGUUGGCUCUUUGCUUGCGCAACAACUGCCACCCGACUUACCUCUUCAGAUGUUUGCCUAGGCUUGUAUAGCCUAAGCAGAUUGUGGGUUUCCUGUGUUGCCUACCUACGUCACGGAAUUGUCCCGAUCGAUCAAAGUUGCUUUCGUCUUGUGUCGUCUUGAUGGCAUAAGAUGAACCAUGAAGCUGUCUCUUUGCACCGCAUCGUUAAUGCAUGCAUUGAUGUUGUGGCCCAUUGAGCAUUGCUUGGUACCUUGGAUACGGAACCUUAUGUGGGCAUGGGUCCUCAGGGAUCCUUUCUGCCCUCGUUUAGCGUUCGCGCUUCUCUUAGAAUGACUGCCCAUCUAGAAAGGGAAGCCAUUCCGGAUGGGCGUUGUCAAAGAGGAAUGC